rnacentral:rRNA from 1 species
UUCUCCUGGAAACGGGUGGUAAUGCCGGAUGCUCCAGUUGAUCGCAUGGUCUUCUGGGAAAGCUUUCGCGGUAUGGGAUGGGGUCGCGUCCUAUCAGCUUGACGGCGGGGUAACGGCCCACCGUGGCUUCGACGGGUAGCCGGCCUGAGAGGGCGACCGGCCACAUUGGGACUGAGAUACGGCCCAGACUCCUACGGGAGGCAGCAGUGGGGAAUAUUGCACAAUGGGCGCAAGCCUGAUGCAGCGACGCCGCGUGAGGGAUGGAGGCCUUCGGGUUGUAAACCUCUUUUAUCGGGGAGCAAGCGAGAGUGAGUUUACCCGUUGAAUAAGCACCGGCUAACUACGUGCCAGCAGCCGCGGUAAUACGUAGGGUGCAAGCGUUAUCCGGAAUUAUUGGGCGUAAAGGGCUCGUAGGCGGUUCGUCGCGUCCGGUGUGAAAGUCCAUCGCUUAACGGUGGAUCCGCGCCGGGUACGGGCGGGCUUGAGUGCGGUAGGGGAGACUGGAAUUCCCGGUGUAACGGUGGAAUGUGUAGAUAUCGGGAAGAACACCAAC